CCUACGGGUGGCAGCAGUGGGGAAUAUUGCGCAAUGGGCGAAAGCCUGACGCAGCGACGCCGCGUGAGGGAUGAAGGUCUUCGGAUCGUAAACCUCUGUCAGCAGGGAAGAACGGUCACUGUGCCAAUCAGCAGUGAAUUGACGGUACCUGCAAAGGAAGCACCGGCUAACUCCGUGCCAGCAGCCGCGGUAAUACGGAGGGUGCGAGCGUUAAUCGGAAUUACUGGGCGUAAAGCGCUCGUAGGCGGUAUGUCAAGUCACGGGUGAAAUCCCCGCGCUCAACGUGGGAACUGCCUUUGAAACUGGCAAACUGGAGUGUGUGAGAGGAUAGUGGAAUUCCAGGUGUAGGAGUGAAAUGCGUAGAUAUCUGGAGGAACAUCAGUGGCGAAGGCGACUAUCUGGCACAUAACUGACGCUGAGGAGCGAAAGCGUGGGUAGCAAACAGGAUUAGAUACCCGUGUAGUC
rnacentral:rRNA from 1 species